rnacentral:rRNA from 1 species
CCUACGGGAGGCAGCAGUGAGGAAUAUUGGUCAAUGGUCGCAAGACUGAACCAGCCAUGCCGCGUGCAGGAAGACGGUCCUAUGGAUUGUAAACUGCUUUUAUACAGGAAGAAACCCUCUCACGUGUGGGAGCUUGACGGUACUGUAUGAAUAAGCAUCGGCUAACUCCGUGCCAGCAGCCGCGGUAAUACGGAGGAUGCGAGCGUUAUCCGGAAUCAUUGGGUUUAAAGGGUCCGUAGGCGGUUUAAUAAGUCAGUGGUGAAAUCUGGUCGCUCAACGAUCAAACUGCCAUUGAUACUGUUAGACUUGAAUAAUUGUGAAGUAACUAGAAUAUGUAGUGUAGCGGUGAAAUGCUUAGAUAUUACAUGGAAUACCAAUUGCGAAGGCAGGUUACUAACAAUUUAUUGACGCUGAUGGACGAAAGCGUGGGGAGCGAACAGGAUUAGAUACCCCAGUAGUC